rnacentral:rRNA from 1 species
CAAUAGCGUAUAUUAAAAUUGUUGCAGUUAAAAAGCUCGUAGUUGGAUUUGUGGCGUACGGUGGGUUCCGGGCACUUGUUGUCUGAGUAACUUGCUGUUGCCAUCCUUGGGUGGAACCUGUGUGGCAUUAGGUUGUCGUGCAGGGGAUGCCCAUCAUUUACUGUGAAAAAAUUAGAGUGUUCAAAGCAGGCUUAUGCCGUUGAAUAUAUUAGCAUGGAAUAAUGAGAUAGGACUUUUUUGCUAUUUUGUUGGUUUGCGCAAAGAGGUAAUGAUUAAUAGGGACAGUUGGGGGUAUUCGUAUUCCAUUGUCAGAGGUGAAAUUCUUGGAUUUUUGGAAGACGAACUACUGCGAAAGCAUUUACCAAGGAUGUUUUCAUUAA